AAUGAGGUGGCAGAGAUAAAUGCGUUAAGUUUAAGCCUUGUGUACGAAGUUUACCUUCCCUUGUUU
rnacentral:tRNA from 1 species